rnacentral:snoRNA from 1 species
UGGAAUAAUGAUGAGAGUAGUCCUGAACCAAGGAUUAAAAUUAAUCCAAAUCUGUGUAUCUAAGGUCCAUU